UGGUUUUGGACCCGUGUCUGCUGGUAGAUCCCCUGUCUUUGUGCGGCCGACUACCGGCGCCGUGUCCCGUCGAUUAUGUGACUUAUGUUACUGUUGCCUUUCAAGUGCUUGCGUGCUGGUACCCGAACUACGGGUAGUUGUGCUGAAUACACGUUGCCUCGCGGUGGCCACCUUCGGGUGUGCCGCUGCGGCCAAAUGGCGCUUGUAGCGUUGCCUCGUGGUGCAGACACGUUUACUCUGUCGGUGCUAUCAAGGCAACCUUGCUCUCGCUUUUGGUCUCGGAUGUUGCCUACGUUAAAGUGUCUUGGCCCAUUUUGGUUGCCUUGACCCGACCCUAAGAAGCUCUCCGAAUUGAGAACAACCGGAGCAGGUGUUACGCAACAUUCUGCGCCGAUCCUCAAACAAGUAGGACGAGCUUAGCCCGCUCAAUCGCGACAACCGGCCCGGCCGUUGCCUCUGCCUUGACACGCAAGUGGAUCGGCGGACAACUUCCGACGCUGGACGUCAAAGAGGACG
rnacentral:misc_RNA from 1 species